rnacentral:lncRNA from 1 species
CUGGUUGAUCUUCGAUAUUAAUACUAAUUGAAGACGGAAUCAUAGGCCAUGUUCCAAUUUCACUAGAACACAGUGAUUCCUCGUCAAGCUAUGGCCUCAGGAUCACGCGACCAAGAGCAUGCUUCCAAUUCAUGGCAUCAUCAAAUUCCGGCAAAAUAUGAAUACCGGUAUGAAUUCUUCGAUCUCCUUUUGUUCUUAUACACACUGAAAUCCUUCUGUUCCAUAUGGUAUGAAACAUGUUGAAUGUUGAGAUUCUUGUUGCUACUAUUAAUCAUUCAAACAUGUAUAGUAAUUUCGAAAAGGAAAUCUUCAUUAUGCUCAGCCUUGUUAACCCCUUGCCCAAAGUAAGAUUAAACUUUCAUACAAGGAAAGAAAGGUUAUGUAAAGGAAUUGACUAAAAAAUCAGAGGAACAAUUAAUUUCAACAACUGGAGGCAGUUACAAGACUUGAACUCUAUUAUACAAUACAUCAGCGUUCCCUUCUCCCCAAAUGGUUGCUCAUUAAUGUUAAAUCUCCGAACCUCAACGAGCAACCAAAUUCACCUAGAAACAACAAAUAUCACAUAUGUAACACAGCUCAACACGUUCACCGACCCAUAAAAUGUCACUUCAAAAUCUACAAACCUCAUGGGAGAACUAUAAAGUACAUGAUAUUAGCUUUGUCAUUCAACAUAGAAAAGAUUGAACGCCCUCUGGAAGUUAUCCUUCUAGUGUGAGAAACAUCCAGAGAGCCACUAAUGAUGGCCUGACUAGGUUUUAUCCGUAUUUUCAAACUUUUCAACGAAUUGGGUGGUACUGUGUGAUACCACGCUUGGGUGGCAACUUCCUCAAAAUGAAAAGGACCAAGGAAGAAGGUAAUAUUUCCACCAACUGCAGCAAAAUUGUGAAAAAGACAAAGGGGUGUUAGUUGAAAGACCAAUAUUACAAAUACCCGUUCAAUAGAUUAAAACCCUACGAGACCAAGUUUCCCAUUUUUCACAAGUAUUUCAAAAGCAUGGGGAAAACUGCAAUCAUUAAUACAAACGGGCAUCAGGGUAACAAUCAAUGCUCUCAAUAAAUAAAAAUAAAAAAUAGAGGGGAGGGGAGGGGGAGGGAGAACUGCAGCAAAAUUGUGAAAAAGACAAAGGGGUGUUAGUUGAAAGACCAAUAUUACAAAUACCCGUUCAAUAGAUUAAAACCCUACGAGACCAAGUUUCCCAUUUUUCACAAGUAUUUCAAAAGCAUGGGGAAAACUGCAAUCAUUAAUACAAACGGGCAUCAGGGUAACAAUCAAUGCUCUCAAUAAAUAAAAAUAAAAAAUAGAGGGGAGGGGAGGGGGAGGGACAGAGAGAGAAGAGAAAAAGAGAGAAAAAAAAAAAGGGGAGGGGGGAUCAGUCUUUCAUGGAUUAUCCGGUUUCAAAAAUCAAAUGGGAUUUUUGGCGAAAUUGCAAUAACUUUAUUUUGCACCUUGCCAAUUAGGUUUAUUUGAAAACAAUCUUCCCACGAGUGAGCUCAAAACUCAGGUAGAUUAACCAGAAAUGCAUCAGUCUGACAAACUCAGGCAGGAAAUAUGUCCAACCUUUCAAAAAAUGAGCUCAAAACAAGAGUGUCCAGAGGCAUAAAAAAUGGAUCCACAUAUAUAGCGAGUUGCAAGCACAAAAACAAGGAAUAAUUAGAAACAUGGCAAUUUAAGGACCACAAUGAAAUAUAAACAUACUAACCAAGUAAUAGAUGAAGUUUAGGAUGGGAUGGUACAGGACAUCAAGGUCAGCAUCUUCGUCAAAUGCAUCAAAGCACAUCUAACACAAUAAAAAAAAAGUUAUCAAACCCAAUUUGAAGAUGAAAUCAACAAGGUACAUAAAAGAAAAAAAAAAGGAACUGACCAUAACACAUCUGACAAGGAAACAUGAAAAACAUAUUGUGGUCACAUAGCCAACCUGCAAUAGAAAGAUCAGGUAGAUUAAAAUCCUGGAGAAGGGAGAGAGGGAUGGAGGAAAGGGAAGAUCUUAGUGGAUCUAGGAAAAUUUUCAUUGAAAAACUGCAUACCUCUUGCAGCUUCUUCCGUCGACCUUUGGAUUCAACAGGAAAGCGUUGCAGCAUCAAGAAUAGUCUGUCAAAGAACAAAAUCAGAAAUAGGAUACAAAAACUGGAUGGAAAACAAGAUUUAAAGUUGUAUACACACAAUGCAAAUACAAAGAUGAUGUGCAAAAUAUAAUCCAUAAGUGUCUUAUUUGGGCAAAAUAACUUUUAUGGUUAAUUUUCUUCUAAAUCCCUUCUUCCUGUUCAUUUUCCAAACAAUCAAAUCUUCAUCCUCAACAAAACCAUUAGGAAAUUGAAAGCCCUUCUAUAGUCAAACAUUUUUAUUAGAACUGCAGCGCUCAUUGGAUCAACACAUACUAUUUGCAACAUCUGUUGUGAAACUUAGUUUUAGUCUCAACAUCUGAAUCCAUUUACCACUUAUUUCUGUAUUGCAAAGCAACUACUUCCUGAAGGAACAAUUGUUUGCGUUAAUUAGCAAAGGCCAUCCUACUUCAUAGCUUUGGUCAAAGAAAGGAAGAAGUUUCUGAAGCAGAUCCUUUAUUUCUUUUUAUUUGGGUUAAUGUCCAGUUUAUCCAGUGUUUUGGCAUAUUUGGUUGGGAAAAAUGCACUCAUAUUGACUGGUUGGAUCUUAAAGCACAAGCCUCUCCAUUAACAGGUUAAACGGCCAGUUUUCUUUUGAAAACAUUGGUUAUAAUGAUCCCAAAAUCCUUACCACGUCACAUCCAGUUGAAAAUUGGAACAAAUGGUUUACCUUCCACCAUAGAGAAGAAAGCCAAGGGCUGCAAACAAUGAGACUCCUGUUGCAAAAUAUAUGCACCCAAGAAUAUUAAAUCAUGAUCGAUAAAAUACUAAAUUUUAUUCUUUUUGGAGGUGGAGAACUCUUAACAACUAACCUGCAAAGAACACCUUAGACAGGAUGAGCAGCACCCUAAUAGGUUUCCACCAUAAUAACAACCAUAAAGCAAGCUGAAACACAAGAAGGGGGAAGAGUUAUCAGUAGCUUCAGAACCUAGUCAACCUGAGAGUAGCACCUAUUUAAAACCUCAAAUCAAUGUUUAUUGAUCAUCAAAACUGAUGACACAAAGUUCAAAACAUUUAAAUCUCAAAGGUUAUUAAUUUUAAACCUUUCAGUUGCAAAGAUUUACGUGCAUUACUGUUAGAUAGUUCAACUAGCUGACUUCCAACACAUUUUAACUACAGCCAUCCCUAAUGCCAUUCAUCCAUAGGGCUAAACUCCUAAUUUUCCUCCAAUGAUUUUUAUAAGAGAGAGAAAUAAUGGGGGCGAGGAAUAACAAGUAACUUGAGGGAUGGCGAGCUUAUAUUUUGUCAAACAGGAGUUGGCACAUUUUUUUAUCUAUUGAGAAAAAGUUUGGGACAGGUCACGCUGAGGAUAGGGCAGACUGGCCAAUCUUAACAGCUAAAACUGUAGCUUCCAUGUCAAUUCUAUUCUUUACUUCCACUGAGAAAUAGAAGCAGAAAAAGGAAUAGGGUCGUAUAAAACUAUGGCCCUCCUAUAAUAAAAGCCAAACCUAGUGCACUGAGCAGAUAUAAAAUCUUGAGCAAGAGUUUUCACCUGAAUAACGUAAACUACAGCAUUAAUUGAAUAGAAACUUGGUCUGAGUCCAUCAGUAGAUACUGCACGUGCCUACAAAACAUUCAUCAAAGCAUGUAAACACCAAUCAGGUCAUUGAAAUAGAAAAACACAACGCCAUUUAAAAAGGGCAAUCAACGUCAAAUCAAACUUGCCUGGUAAUAAAUUUCCGCCCAGAAGAGAACUAAAAGUGCAUAAGUUGUGAAGAAAGCAAGACUUGGCAUGUCUAGCAAGAUAUGUUGAACAAUCUAUACACCAAAAGCCUGACCCAUUAUUAGAUGCUAUAAUUAUGAGAAUUCACAUUAUGUGAUUAUGAAAACAGCUGAAAUAAUUCAUUCACCUCUGGCUGAAACUUCUGCACAUUCCGACGGAAGACGAAAACUAAACAUCGAACUGCAGAACCAGAAAAUAGCAUGCAUUAGCCCACAUAAUAAAAACUAAUCAAACUAUAAAGAGAAAAGAGAUUUUCAGAAUUGAAUGAUACAAACCCCCAUUCACCAAAAAAUUGAGAAAGUGAAAGACCUUCUGCGUCGUCCAUCCAUAUUCCGGCACCCUCAAUUGUAUCCGAACGAGUUGAACCUAAUAAUUACAAACAAAACAAAAAAAGUAACUACGAUAAUUAAUAAAUAAUUUAAUAAAUCUUAUAUCUGAAGGAAAACCCUAACCUAACCGAUCAAAAAUCGAGAAACCAAAAAGGAAUAGGUUGUUUCGUGCGCGUGUGUGUAUGAGAGAGAGAGAGAGAGAGAGAGGAAUACCAGCGCGACGGCGCCUACGAUGCCGUAGAGGACGGCGAGGAUGUGGAAUAUACGAUCCUGCCAGACAGAGGAUGCGUUGAUGUCGUGCCACCAGUUCGACGACGACGACAACGACGAUUUGGUCAGGUUAAGGGCGGCGGCCACCGAGAACACCGCCGUGGUCGCCACCUCCGCCGGCACGCCUCUGGCCACCAUGGGGACGGAAUGGAAUCUUCUGUACACGGAAUCGGAAGGGGCGCUGGAUUUUUCUAUGAUGAAUGAAGAAGAAACCAGAAUGGCACAACCUAAUCAAAUUAUUCAAAUUGUAUUUUUCUUUUUCUUUUUUGUUUUUUAAUAAUUGAUUUUUAUUUUGCUUUGUGGACAGAGCCGGCGGGAGCCGAGAGGGAAAUAAAGGGAGAGGGCGCACCUAUGAUGGAUUGGUUUUGGUGGUGACCGGAGGUAGCCGGUUUGAGGUCACUGUUCCCUAUGUAAGAGAAACCGAUAUCCUAGCAUAGCGGUGCCCACACGUAAUCAUUUAUGCAACUCUCGCCAUUUGCUAUUAUUUUGUUUUAUUAUUGUUAUUUUUGGGUAUAUUAUUACUAGUAUUAUUUUAUUUUAUUUUAUUUUAUUUUAUAAUGACAAACACGUGGUUAUCCUGUACCCGGUUUUAUUUUUGUUUGCUUUAUCUACCUGUCUAUGUAUAAAAAUAAAAACAAAAUUGAAAAUGCUACACGUAUAAUUUUUUUAUUUUUUGAAUGAAGAUUGGAUAAUGACUUUUUUUUUUUAUUUUUUCCCCUUAAAAAGUGAAACUUGAUCAACUAGAUUUUGAGCAAGUUGAAGGUAAUCAUGAAAGGAAUUACGCAUUUACGCAUGUAAUGUAAUCGUGCUUAAACCCAUGACCAUGAUGUUGAAAUGUGGUCAAUUGUUGAAUUUGUAUGAAAUGGAAAAUUUUAUCUUUAGAAAGAUAGACUCC